AGUUAAGCUACUAAGGGCGUACGGUGGAUGCCUUGGUGCCAAGUGCCGAAGAAGGACGUGGAACACUGCGAUAAGCCUCGGGGAGCCGUGUGCAGGCUGCGAUCCGGGGAUGUCCGAAUGGGGAAACCCGGCGUCGGGACGCAAGUCUCCGAUGUCAUCCCUUGCUUGAAUCCAUAGAGCUUGGGAGGGGAACCUGGGGAACUGAAACAUCUUAGUACCCAGAGGAAAAGAAAUGAUUCCGCUAGUAGUGGCGAGCGAACGCGGAAAAGCCCAAACCGGCUCGGCUUGCCGGGCCGGGGUUGUAGGACCGGCAUAUGGGAGUGAUAAAUCGAUCGGCUAGCAGAAUGGUGUUGAAAAGCCAACCAUAGAGGGUGCUAGUCCCGUAUGCGAAAGCGGAUCGACUCCCGUCGGGAUCCUGAGUACCACCGGGCACGCUAAUCCGGUGGGAAGCUGGGGAGUCCACUCUCCAAGGCUAAAUACACUUGGCGACCGAUAGUGAACAAGUACCGUGAGGGAAAGGUGAAAAGUACCCCUGUUAGGGGAGUGAAAUAGAACCUGAAACCGUGCGCUUACAAGCAGUCGGAGGGCUAAUGGCGGGUCGGUGUCCCCGGGAAACCGGGUGAUGCGCCGCUAGGCCUGACGGCGUGCCUUUUGGAGAAUGAGCCGGCGAGUUAAUCUCUGUGGCGAGGUUAAGGGAGUUACACCCGGAGCCGUAGCGAAAGCGAGUCUGAAUAGGGCGAAUUAGUCGCAGGGAUUAGACACGAAACCGAGUGAGCUACCCAUGGCCAGGGUGAAGCGAGUCUAACCGCUCGUGGAGGCCCGAACCUUUCGCUGUUGCAAAAGCGUGGGAUGAGCUGUGGGUAGGGGUGAUAUGCCAAACGAACUCGGAGAUAGCUUGUUCUCCCCGAAAUAGCUUUAGGGCUAGCGUCACGCGUUCAGUACCGGAGGUAGAGCACUGGAUGGGCUAGGGGGCUUAUCGCUUACCAAACCCAACCAAACUCCGAAUGCCGGUACUCCAGAGCGUGGCAGUCGGACUACGGGAGAUGAGUUUCGUAGUCGAGAGGGAAAGAGCCCAGAUCAUCGGCUAAGGUCCUUAAGUCUGAGCUAAGUGGGAAACGAUGUGGGAUUGUUGAGACAGCCAGGAGGUUGGCUUAGAAGCAGCCAUCCUUUAAAGAGUGCGUAACAGCUCACUGGUCAAACGGUCCUGCGCGGAUAAUUCAACGGGGCUUAAGUUCAGCACCGAAGCCAUGGGUCUCGGUCGCCUGCGGGCGGCCGGGGCGGUAGGGGAGCGUUCUGUCUGCGCAGAAGGUCGACCGUGAGGACGACUGGAGCGGGCAGAAGUGAGAAUGCCGGCAUGAGUAGCGUGAAACACGUGAGAACCGUGUUCGCCGUAAGUCUAAGGUUUCCGACGGAAGGUCAAUCCGCGUCGGGUUAGUCGGUCCUUAGCCGAGGCCGAAAGGCGUAGGCGAUGGACAUCCGGUCAACAUUCCGGAACCACCUAGGUGGAGCGAUGGGGUGACGCAGCGGGGUAGGCCAGCCUGCGAUUGGUCGUGCAGGUGCUAAGCGUGUAAGCGAUGACGGGCAUAGGCAAAUCCGUGCCCUGAGCCGAGGCGCAAUAGCGAGCCCCAGAGGCGUAAGUGGUUGAGCCUUGUUGCCAAGAAAAACCUCUAAGUGAUGAAACCUGGGUGACCGUACCGCAAACCGACACUGGUAGACGGGUAGAGUAUACCAAGGCGAACGGGAGAACCCUCGUUAAGGAACUAGGCAAAUUGGCCCCGUAACUUCGGGAGAAGGGGCGCCUCCUUGAGUGAAACUAAAUCAGGUGGAGCUUGAGGAGGUCGCAGUGAAAUGGCUCUGGUGACUGGUUACCAAAACCACAGGUCUCUGCAAAGCCGCAAGGCGAUGUAUAGGGGCUGACGCCUGCCCAGUGCCGGAAGGUUAAGGGGAGGGGUUAGCCGUAAGGCGAAGCUUUGAACCGAAGCCCCGGUGAACGGCGGCCGUAACUAUAACGGUCCUAAGGUAGCGAAAUUCCUNNNNNNNNNNNNNNNNNNNCACUGUCUCAACGAGGGACCCGGCGAAAUUGAAGUCGCGGUAAAGAUGCCGCGUACCCGCAGCAGGACAAAAAGACCCCGUGGAGCUUUACUAUAGCUUGGCAUUGAGUUCGGGCUUAGCUUGUGUAGGAUAGGUGGGAGGCUGUGAAGCUGGGGCGCCAGCCUCGGUGGAGCCAACAGUGGAAUACCACCCUGGUUAAGUUUGGACCCUAACCCCUGACCGUUAUCCGGCGGGGGGACAGUGCCUGGUGGGUAGUUUGACUGGGGCGGUCGCCUCCUAAAAGGUANNNNNNNNNNNNNNNNNNNNNNNNNNNNNNNNNNNNNNNNNNNNNNNNNNNNNNNNNNNNNNNNNNNNNNNNNNNNNNNNNNNNNNNNNNNNNNNNNNGGCUCGGCACCUCGAUGUCGGCUCAUCGCAUCCUGGGGCUGGAUAAGGUCCCAAGGGUUGGGCUGUUCGCCCAUUAAAGCGGUACGUGAGCUGGGUUCAGACCGUCGUGAGACAGGUCGGUCUCUAUCCGCUGUGGGCGUAAGGGAUUUGAGGGGAGCUGCCCCUAGUACGAGAGGACCGGGGUGGACAGACCGCUGGUGUGCCAGUUGUCGUGCCAACGGCAUCGCUGGGUAGCUACGUCUGGCAGAGAUAACCGCUGAAAGCAUCUAAGUGGGAAACUCGCCCCAAGAUGAGAUCCCUCACCGGGUUAACCGGGUAAGGCCGCAGGAAGACUACCUGCUUGAUAGGCGGCAAGUGUAAGCGCAGCAAUGCGUUCAGCUAAGCCGUACUAAUGGCCGAGGGCUUAACCUG
rnacentral:rRNA from 1 species